UUACAAAAAAUAAGAAAGCAGGUGCAAGGU
rnacentral:piRNA from 1 species